GUUAGGAAUAUUGGACAAUGGGCGCAAGCCUGAUCCAGCCAUGCCGCGUGAGUGAUGAAGGCCUUCGGGUUGUAAAGCUCUUUAGUCCACGAAUAUAAUGACUGUAGUGGAAGAAUAAGCCCCGGCUAACUUCGUGCCAGCAGCCGCGGUAAUACGAAGGGGGCGAGCGUUAUUUGGAAUCACUGGGCGUAAAGCGUGCGUAGGCUGUUUUGUAAGUCAGAAGUGAAAGCCCAGGGCUUAACCCUGGAAUUGCUUUUGAAACUACAAGACUCGAAUUCGGGAGAGGAUAGCGGAAUUGUCAGUGUAGCAGUGAAAUGCGUAGAUAUUGACAGGAACACCAGUGGCGCAAGCGGCUAUCUGGACCGAUAUUGACGCUGAGGCACGAAAGCGUGGGGAGCAAACAGGAUUAGAUACCCCGGUAGUCC
rnacentral:rRNA from 1 species